rnacentral:rRNA from 1 species
CAGUCGAACGGAGAUUAUACGCAGAGGCGAUUUCGGUCAAAUCAUGUGUAAUCUUAGUGGCGGACGGGUGAGUAACGCGUGGGUAACCUGCCUUACACUGGGGGAUAACACUUAGAAAUAGGUGCUAAUACCGCAUAAGCGCACGAAGCCGCAUGGAUUUGUGUGAAAAACUCCGGUGGUGUAAGAUGGACCCGCGUCUGAUUAGCUUGUUGGCGGGGUAACGGCCCACCAAGGCGACGAUCAGUAGCCGGCCUGAGAGGGUGGACGGCCACAUUGGGACUGAGACACGGCCCAAACUCCUACGGGAGGCAGCAGUGGGGGAUAUUGGACAAUGGGGGGAACCCUGAUCCAGCGACGCCGCGUGAGUGAAGAAGUAUUUCGGUAUGUAAAGCUCUGUCAGCAGGGAAGAAAGAAAUGACGGUACCUGACCAAGAAGCCCCGGCUAACUACGUGCCAGCAGCCGCGGUAAUACGUAGGGGGCAAGCGUUAUCCGGAAUUACUGGGUGUAAAGGGAGCGUAGACGGUUAAGUAAGUCUGGAGUGAAAGGCCGGGGCCCAACCCCGGGACUGCUCUGGAAACUAUUCAACUUGAGUGCAGGAGAGGUAAGCGGAAUUCCUAGUGUAGCGGUGAAAUGCGUAGAUAUUAGGAGGAACACCAGUGGCGAAGGCGGCUUACUGGACUGUAACUGACGUUGAGGCUCGAAAGCGUGGGGAGCAAACAGGAUUAGAUACCCUGGUAGUCCACGCCGUANACGAUGAUUACUAGGUGUCGGUGGNUAUGGACCCAUCGGUGCCGCAGCAAACGCAGUAAGUAAUCCACCUGGGGAGUACGUUCGCAAGAAUGAAACUCAA